rnacentral:rRNA from 1 species
GACGAACCGUGCGAACGUUAUUCGGAAUCACUGGGCUUAAAGCGCGUGUAGGCGGGCCGCCACGUCAGUCGCUGAAAUCCCCCGGCUCAACCGGGGAAGUGGCACUGAUACGAGCGGCCUGGAGGGAGGUAGGGGGGGCUGGAACUUCCGGUGGAGCGGUGAAAUGCGUUGAGAUCGGAAGGAACGCCCGUGGCGAAAGCGAGCCCCUGAACCUUUUCUGACGCUGAGACGCGAAAGCUAGGGGAGCGAACGGG